rnacentral:rRNA from 2 species
UAGUGAUUAUGAAGGGUUGCCUUCUGUGCUGGCUGCGGCAAGUGCACGAUGGUGGCUUUCAUCCAACACCCUGUGAACCUCUGGCCUCUUGCUGGCUUCGGCUGGCGGAGGAUUUACACAAACUCGCAUGUAUUGAGGACCCUUCAUGUGCGCAAGCACUAAUAAUAUAUACAACUUUCAACAACGGAUCUCUUGGCUCUCGCAUCGAUGAAGAACGCAGCGAAAUGCGAUAAGUAAUGUGAAUUGCAGAAUUCAGUGAAUCAUCGAAUCUUUGAACGCACCUUGCACCCUUUGGCAUUCCGAAGGGUAUGCUCGUUUGAGUGUCAUUGUACUCUCACACUCCCAAUUGCUUUGGAUUGGGAGCGGUGGACUUGGGUGUUGCUGCUUGACUGAGGCUCACCUGAAAUAUGUUAGUGCACCUCUUGAUUGGACAUAGUACGGCGUGAUAAGUGUCUUCGCCGGCUCCUCGCAAAGAGGGUGGCCGAUCGGGAGCUCUGUUGCUUCAAACUGUCUUCGGACAAUCUUCUGGCGACUUGACCUCAAAUCGAGUAGGACUACCCGCUGAACUUAA